GUAGCGCAAUGAAUAGCGCGUUGGACUUCUAAUCCAAAGAUCGUGGGUCUGAAGUCCCACGGGAUGGCCCA